GACGAACGCUGGCGGCGUGCUUAACACAUGCAAGUCGAACGGAAAGGCCCUGCUUUUGUGGGGUGCUCGAGUGGCGAACGGGUGAGUAACACGUGAGUAACCUGCCCUUGACUUUGGGAUAACUUCAGGAAACUGGGGCUAAUACCGGAUAGGAGCUCCUGCUGCAUGGUGGGGGUUGGAAAGUUUCGGCGGUUGGGGAUGGACUCGCGGCUUAUCAGAUUGUUGGUGGGGUAGUGGCUUACCAAGGCUUUGACGGGUAGCCGGCAUGAGAGGGUGACCGGCCAAAUUGGGACUGAGAUACGGCCCAGACUCCUACGGGAGGCAGAAGUGGGGAAUAUUGCACAAUGGGCGGAAGCCUGAUGCAGCAACGCCGCGUGCGGGAUGACGGCCUUCGGGUUGUAAACCGCUUUCGCCUGUGACGAAGCGUGAGUGACGGUAAUGGGUAAAGAAGCACCGGCUAACUACGUG
rnacentral:rRNA from 1 species